GAGUUUGAUCCUGGCUCAGAACGAACGCUGGCGGCGUGGAUAAGACAUGCAAGUCGAACGCGAUUUUCUCGGUUAGCAAUAACUGAGGAGAUUGAGUGGCGAAUGGGUGCGUAACACGUGGGAAUUUAUCCGGAAGUGGGGGAUAGCUCGUCGAAAGGCGAAUUAAUACCGCAUAUGCCUGUAAGGGCAAAGUGGGGGACCGUAAGGCCUCACGCUAUCGGAGGAGCCCGCGCCCUAUCAGCUAGUUGGUGAGGUAAUGGCUCACCAAGGCUUAGACGGGUAGCUGGUCUGAGAGGACGACCAGCCACACUGGAACUGAGACACGGUCCAGACACCUACGGGUGGCAGCAGUCGAGGAUUUUUCUCAAUGGGGGCAACCCUGAAGGAGCGACGCCGCGUGGAGGAUGAAGGGCUUCGGCUCGUAAACUCCUGUCACCGACGAACAAGACAUCCGGAUUAAUAACUCGGAUGUUUGAUGGUAGUCGGAGAGGAAGGGGCGGCUAACUCUGUGCCAGCAGCCGCGGUGAUACAGAGGCCCCAAGCGUUGUUCGGAUUUACUGGGCGUAAAGGGUGUGUAGGGGGUUAGGUUAGUCUGACGUGAAAUACCGUUGCUCAACAACGGAACUGCGUCGGAUACUGCCUAGCUAGAGGUUCGGAGAUGAGGGCGGAAUUCUCGGUGUAGCGGUGAAGUGCGUAGAUAUCGGGAAGAACACCAGUGGCGAAGGCGCUCUGCUGGGCCAUAACUGACGCUCAUGGACGAAAGCCAGGGGAGCGAAAGGGAUUAGAUACCCCUGUAGUCCUGGCCGUAAACGAUGAACACUAGGUGUCGGGGGAAUCGACCCCCUCGGUGUCGUAGCCAACGCGUUAUGUGUUCCGCCUGGGGAGUACGCACGCAAGUGUGAAACUCAAAGGAAUUGACGGGGGCCCGCACAAGCGGUGGAGUAUGUGGUUUAAUUCGAUGCAACGCGAAGAACCUUACCAGGGUUUGACAUCCUGCGAAUUCCUUGGAAACUUGGAAGUGCCUUCGGGAGCGCAGUGACAGGUGGUGCAUGGCUGUCGUCAGCUCGUGUCGUGAGAUGUUGGGUUAAGUCCCGCAACGAGCGCAACCCAA
rnacentral:rRNA from 1 species